UUUAGCACCAGUUUCAAUUCCUGAUAGCCCAGCCGCUGUCAUGCUUUCAUUAAACAGAUCAUGCCUCCAUAUCAAAUCUUUUGCUCUGUUGAAAGACUUGGCAAUCAUGUAUGGAGAUGAUCGGGUGUUAACCCUAAGAGCAGCCUCGUGUCGAGGCAUCCCCACUGGCCGUCCACCUCCUUGUCCACGGCCCCAACCACGGCCUCGAG
rnacentral:misc_RNA from 1 species